UUCCGGCGUCACAGACGGUCUUUACAAGCGACUCGUGGGCGUCAAUACUGGGCUGAGUUUGUGGCGCGCUUAGUGAUGGGAUGGCCCUGUGCAGGACGCCGACACGAAAAGAUGAAGAGUUCAAUCCGUGCUGUCUGAACUCACAGUGUAGCAGGCGAGAUAGACGGGAAGAUCGGUAGGGUGGGAGAUGCCGGAAAGGCUUCCCGUGAGACUGGAUAAGAAAUCAAAAAUCUGGUGAAAUUGCCGGCAAGAGGGAGUUAAGGACAUUCCAGGCAGAGGCAAGAUGAAGCCAGAUACUCCUCUAUGAAGUUAAAUGACUGGUUCAGUGUUAACACUGCUAGUGAGCGACAGAGAUGGAAUUUGAACGCACACCUGUCUGACUCCACCUCGUGUUCCUUCCACAUGGCCAGCAAGCUCUGCUGUCCCACCUCGCACUUCUGGGAGGUGGCUACUCCCUCUUUCCACCCCCUUUUCUGGAUCUUGACAAGGGAUUCUACCCUGCCCCAGCUGUCAAAGCCUGCAGCAGCUGCCAAAAAACCUCAACACAGGCAUACUUUGGACCUACAUCAUGUGUUGAUGUCACAGAUGCUGUACCAGGCAUUUGACUCCUUGAUCUAAAGCCAGGAUUCCUAGCCAACAUGGCGAAACCCUGUCUCUACUAAAAAUAACAAAAAUUAGCUGGGCAUGGUGAUAGGCACCUGUAAUCCCAGCUACUUGGGAGGCUGAGGCAGGAGAAUUACUUGAACCCAGGAAGCGAAGGCUGCAGUGAGCAGAGAUUGUGCCUCUGCACUACAGCCUGGGCUAUGGAGUAAGACUCUGUCUCAAAAAAAAAAAAAAAAAAAAAAUAGUGAGGGGGAUGCAUGCCCACACAAAGGAAUCCUGAUAGAGGAACAAUGGCUUGGUCCGUUUCCCCUCCUGUGUAGCACUGUGAUAAAGGAAAGCCUUUCAGAUUCCUAAGAUGAGGACACAGCAUCCUGGGCCACUGUCACUAAUACAAAUUUGCCUCUGGAGGGACUCUACGGAAGAUAAUUCCCCUGAAAUUUGGAGAGUUGAAUUAAGCUAGGACUGAUUCUGGCUGGAAUUUGUGGUGGCUACGUACCCUAGAGGGCCUCAAGGAAACCCACGGUUCAAGACAGCCCUGACAGAUUCUGGAGUCUAGAACAGAAAUGGAUUUGAACAUGGGCAAGGCCAACCACCCAGUUCACGGCCUGUGUACAGCAAAGAUUACGUUACAGCCUGAGAGCUAAGCCUGGAAGCUCUUUCAUCCAUCCGUUUGUCCAUCUAUCCAUCCAUCUGCUCAUCCAUCCCUCCAUCUGCUCAACAAACGUUAGAGAAUCAAUCCUUGUGUCAGAUACUGGGGCUGCCCUCAAGGAGCUUUUAUAGAGUUCAGGGUACAGCCAGGUGGGGGAGACAGAUCACUAUAAAAACCUACCACUAUAAUCCAAAGGACAAGAGCAAAAAUAGUAAAGAGGAGAGAAGACCCAAAUUUGCCUGGUGGGUCAGAGAGGGCUUUCUAGAAGAGGUAAAAAAUCUUCGGGGCUAUCACUUCACCUUGCCUGGUGGAUAAAGGGAGGACUUUCCAGAUACAGUGGACAGAAUGUGCAGAGGCAGGAGCCAUGAGUGGCAGAGGCAGGGGAGGGACUGCAGAGACAGGUUGGAGCCAAAGCACGUGGCACUGGAGCCAUAGCCAAAGGAACAAACUGUGAGACCUGGGACUUGAAUUUGGAGGUGGUGAAAAGUGACAAGGUCUUCACAGAAGAGUGAUUUUUUCAACUUAGGGAAGGCUGACCCCAGACCAAUGCUGCCAAAGUGUGGUCUGUGGGCUGUUAGCAGUUCGUGACGAUGUAAGUACAGGAAUUGAGAUUAAGCAUUUAGAACACCUACAGCACUUUGAUAGUCAUUUUACUUUUUAAAUUUUGAGCUGGCAUUUUAUAUGCCUGGUUUUUUUUUGUUUUUGUUUUUUUAUUUUUUUUGAGACAGUCUCGCUCUGUCGCCCAGGCUGGAGUGCAGUGGCGCGAUCUCUGCUCACUGCAAGCUCCGCCUCCCGGGUUCACGCCAUUCUCCUGCCUCAUCCUCCCAAGUAGCUGGGACUGCAGGCGCCUGCCGCCUCGCCCAGCUAAUUUUUUGUAUUUUUAAUAGAGACGGGGUUUCACCAUGUUAGCCAGGAUGGUCUCAAUCUCCUGAUCUCGUGAUCUGCCCGCCUUGGCCUCCCAAAAUGCUGGGAUUACAGGUGUGAGCCACCACGCCCAGCCUUAUUCUCUUUUUCUAAUAGUUGCACUUUAUCAUAUUUUACAAAUGUGUGAGUCUGCUAUGGAUUAGAAAUUAAUAAGAGAUUUUGCCACAGAUAGUUUGAGAAGCCCAGCACUGCCACUCAACAAAUGCUGGUGCAUUCAGAUGGUGAAAUAUUCUGCAGCUAUUAAAGGAGUUAAAACUGCCUCCACUUACCUGGAGGCCCAUCUGUGACACCUUUUUAGGUUAAAAGGAAAAGAAAAACUUGCUUAGGACUGAAUAUGAGCGGUUGCAAUUUGUAACAAUGAUGUAUAUAUACAUAUACAUUUUCAUGUAUUUGUAUGAACAUAAAAGUAUUGAAGGAUAUUCAUCAAACUGCUAAAAGGGUUGCUUCAGAGUAACGGACUCGGAGAAGGCAGAUUAAUUUUCUCUUAAUGGAACUCUGUAUUGUAUCACUUGUAAAAAUAAGCAUGUGUUAUCUUUAUGAUAAAAAAGUAAAAACCUAAAAAAG
rnacentral:lncRNA from 10 species